CCCUUAGAUGUUCUGGGCCGCACGCGCGCCACACUGAUGCAUGCAACGAGUUCUAUCCUUGGCCGGAAGGCCUGGGUAAUCUGUGAACGUGCAUCGUGAUAGGGAUAGAUUAUUGCAAUUAUUAAUCUUGAACGAGGAAUUCCUAGUAAACGCAAGUCAUCAGCUUGCAUUGAUUACGUCCCUGCCCUUUGUACACACCGCCCGUCGCACCUACCGAUCGAAGGUAAUGAUGAGCCCUCAGGAUUGUGGCCUCGUCGCGUCAGCGUCUUGGCUGCGAGAAUCUGUGCAAAUCCCUACCUUUAGAGGAAGGUGAAGUCGUAACA
rnacentral:rRNA from 1 species